AAAUUUGAAUAAGCGUGUCCAAAACACAUAUUCUUGUCAUAGAUUUACCAAUUUACACUACUUUCUAUCUAAUCUAGUCUGUUAUGGAACUCAAGUAACAUCUCAGAUUGAUAGUUGAUUACAGAAUUCUUUGGAAGUGGUGAUUCCAUCUUUAUCAAUCCACCAAUUCAUCAUUUUUGGAAUAAAAGAUUUGAACAUAGAAAAUAUUGACUUCCUUACAGUUCGAUAUGAUUUGCAGAGUAUUGAUUAUAAGUUCUAUAAUCUUCUCAUUGUCACAUGGAACACCUCUCCGGAAUAAUGAGUCUUCAAUUACUUCAAAAAGAGAUGUGUCAAAUAAUGAACAUUGUCCAGAUUAUUCAAUGGAGAAAGAACGAGUAUGCAUUGAAUGCAAGGCAACAUUAGGAGAAUAUACUUACAGACAUUGCACGAAGAACUGUUACUCAGCAUACAUCUAUAAAGUAUGUCUGAGUCAUUAUCGCAAAAGGCCGCCGGUUUAUGAAUGAGUCACAGUGCACUGAUUGGUAAAGUGCAUCUCUGAAUAUGUCUGGAAAUGAAAAUCCAAUACAAAAGAGUAAGAUAUAAUAUUUUUGAGUGUCUGGCCAUUCGAUAUGAUACGCUUCAUAUUCAUAAGUUCAGUAAUCUUCUCAUACUCUCAUGAAUCACACUUCGUGGAUAUGGAUUCUUCAAUAAGUUCAAAAAGGCAUGUAUCAUCUGGUGGUCAGUGUCCAGAGUAUAUAGCAGAAAAAGAACGGGUUUGCAUUGCAUGCACAGAAACACUGGGAGAAUAUACUUAUAAACUUUGCACGGAAGACUGUUACAAAUCAUACAUGUUUGAAGUAUGUCUGAUUGAAUAUGGUGCAUUCUCACUGACGUAAUACUAUUAUUGAUACACAUGAUGGAGUCCCUAGAGUUCUAUCAGAUAAGUGAGUGAAUUACAUUGCAGUGGUGAGCAUGACUAACCAACUAGAAGUUGUCUUCACUAUCCAUAAUGCAGUAAGAACGAAAAGUAAAGAAUUGAAAUGUAUGGUGGUAUUUAUACAGCAAUAGUAAUAAAUGUGUAAAUAAAGUAAUAAUAUAUAAUGUAAUAGUACAGUAUUAAUCUAGUAGAAUAAUAUAGUUCUAUUUCUACAUAACAAAUUCUCAUCAAACUGGAACUUGAUCAAUGAACAGCAGAAUAAAGUAAAUUAUGCAUACAAA